AGUCUACGAAACCCCACAGCUCCUAAGAAUUCUCUCACCUGCCUUCUGCCCUUAAGCUCCGGUAGAUUGCAAAUAACCUGCUUUCUUUCUGUUCCCGAGCUGCGUUCGGACCCAUGUCUUAUUGUAAAUCCCACGCAAGCUGCGUUCGGACCCGUCUGAUCGUAAAUCCCAUGUAAGGUACCUGCCGUCGGAAGAUUUGAACGUUCUACUUGGACACCUAAAACCCACAGUCCUCCAGGUACCUGCUGUCGGAAGAUUUGAACUUUCUACUUGGACAACUAACACCCACAGUCCUCCAGGUACCUGCCGUCGGAAGAUUUGAGCUUUCUUCUUGAACACCUCAUACCCACAGUCCUCCAGGCGCCAGUGGGAUCAAGAGAGGGCAACAUUGCAACUCUCCAUGCUCCUGCAAUAUCCAUGGCUAUUCUGUAGACAGAAAGACAACAGGUACAAAGCCCUAAGGAUUAUAAAGGUAUGCUGCUUACCAUCAUCUUAGUGACCAAGGCAGCGAAGCUGUUUCUGUACCUUGGAACAGUCUUCCCUGACAAGCCAGAGAACAGUGAUAAAGCCACCAGCCUUGGGAUCAGGACUGAAAAGGCAAGAGUGAUGGAGAUUUCUCCUGCGCUAAGCCAAGAGAAGGUUUCAGCACUUCAGACAGCUCCCACCGAAGUAGCCGCGCUCCCAGCUGCUUGCAGAUGUUGAAAAGGAAAGCCUCGGUUUGUCUUGAGGUUGUCAGCAGGUGCAAGACACGUAAUAAAAUGCAAUGUGUUC
rnacentral:lncRNA from 1 species